AGUUCUAAGAAGAAGAAGGAGGACGAGGAGGCCUACAGAUUACCCAAAGAAGAAGAGAAGAAGGUUCCUGGAGAAGACAAGCUAGUGGAUAACCGUGGAUAACAUACAUUCAAUGAACAAUAUUUGAACAUUUUUCCUUCAUAGUUGGACAAAGACUCUGGAGAUGAAGGCUGUUCAACUUUACCUGCGACUCCUGAGUAUGGUAUGCACAAGUGAACACAUUUUUAGCCUUGUAGUUCCUCUUUAGCUAAAGUUAUUACAUUUGAUUGAUACCACUGUCAUUUUAGGGAUAUCAAGUCUGCCACAUUCAGACCAUGAAACUGACACUGAGGACCAACCACCAGAAGUACCUAUAAGCCCUGAGGUUUCCCAUGAGGAAAGUGAUGUUGCAGCCUCUUGUGCUCCACGUGGACCUCAUGAUAUUUCACAAUCAAGAGCAGCAGGUCCCACUCAACCUCAGCUGAAGAUUUUUCCUAAAACGGUCUUUGGUGAGAGGAAGAGAUCAUUCAAUUCUUCAUGGUAUGAUCAGCAUUCAUGGCUUGAAUACUCUGCAAGCCAAGAUUCAGCCUACUGUUAUGCCUGCAGACACUUCUCCCUGCCUAGUGCAUCAGAAUCAGUUUUUACAUCAGAGUCUGGAUUUUCACAUUGGAAAAAGGCUAUGUUCAAAGAUGGUGGUUUCAAGUUGCAUGAGAAAUCUGAGUCACACAUUACUGCCAUGUUGGCUUGGA